GCGCCGGUAGCUCAGCUGGUAGAGCAUUCGACUUUUAAUCGAACGGUCCGGGGUUCGAGCCCCCGCCGGCGUACCA
rnacentral:tRNA from 1 species